rnacentral:misc_RNA from 1 species
GAUGAAGAACGCAGCGAAAUGCGAUAAGUAGUGUGAAUUGCAGAAUUCAGUGAAUCAUCGAAUCUUUGAACGCACAUUGCGCCCUUUGGUAUUCCAAAGGGCAUGCCUGUUCGAGCGUCAUUUGUACCCUCAAGCUUUGCUUGGUGUUGGGCGUCUUGUCUCCAGUUCGCUGGAGACUCGCCUUAAAGUAAUUGGCAGCCGGCCUACUGGUUUCGGAGCGCAGCACAAGUCGCGCUCUCUUCCAGCCAAGGUCAGCAUCCACAAAGCCUUUUUUCAACUUUUGACCUCGGAUCAGGUAGGGAUACCCGCUGAACUUAAGCAUACAAUAAGCGGAGGA